rnacentral:rRNA from 1 species
GAUGAACGCUGGCGGCGUGCCUAAUACAUGCAAGUAGAACGCUGAAGGAGGAGCUUGCUCUUCUGGAUGAGUUGCGAACGGGUGAGUAACGCGUAGGUAACCUGCCUGGUAGCGGGGGAUAACUAUUGGAAACGAUAGCUAAUACCGCAUGACAACAGUUAUUGCAUGAUAACUGUUUAAAAGGGGCAACUGCUCCACUACCAGAUGGACCUGCGUUGUAUUAGCUAGUUGGUGAGGUAACGGCUCACCAAGGCGACGAUACAUAGCCGACCUGAGAGGGGGGUCGGCCACACUGGGCCUGAGACACGGCCCAGGCUCCUACGGGAGGCAGCAGUAGGGAAUCUUCGGCAAUGGACGGAAGUCUGACCGAGCAACGCCGCGUGAGUGAAGAAUGUUUUCGGAUCGUAAAGCUCUGUUGUAAGAGAAGAACGAGUGUGAGAGUGGAAAGUUCACACUGUGACGGUAUCUUACCAGAAAGGGACGGCUAACUACGUG